rnacentral:rRNA from 1 species
ACAGGGGGAUAAUCCGAAGAAAUUUGGUCUAAUACCCCAUAAUACCGAUAUAGGCAUCUAUGUUGGUUGAAAGCUUUGGUGGUGUCAGAUGGGCAUGCGUUGUAUUAGCUAGUUGGUGAGGUAACGGCUCACCAAGGCGACGAUACAUAGGGGGACUGAGAGGUUAACCCCCCCACACUGGUACUGAGACACGGACCAGACUCCUACGGGAGGCAGCAUG